GACGAACGCUGGCGGCGUGCUUAACACAUGCAAGUCGAACGGAAAGGCCCUGCUUUUGUGGGGUGCUCGAGUGGCGAACGGGUGAGUAACACGUGAGUACCCUGCCCUUGACUUUGGGAUAAUUUCAUGAAAGUGGGGCUAAUACCGGAUAGGAGUUCCUGCUGCAGGGUGGGGGUGGGAAAGUUUCGGCGGUUGGGGAUGGACACGCGGCUUAUCAGAUUGUUGGUGGGGUAGUGGCUUACCAAGGCUUUGACGGGUAGCCGGCCUGAGCGGGUGACCGGCCAAACUGCGCUUGAAAUGAGGCACAGCCUACUACGCGACGCAAGGGAGCAGUAUGGAACACUAUGGGCGGAACGAUAGUGCAGCCACGCAGCGCGGCGUAUGACAGCAAUCGGUUAGUAUUCCACUUCCGCCUGUGACGAAGCGUGAGUGACAGUACUGGGUAAAUAAGCACCGGCUAACUACGUG
rnacentral:rRNA from 1 species